CAGCAGCCGCGGUAAUACCGAGGGUGCGAGCGUUAAUCGGAUUUACUGGGCGUAAAGCGUGCGUAGGCGGCUUCUUAAGUCGGAUGUGAAAUCCCUGAGCUUAACUUAGGAAUUGCAUUCGAUACUGGGAAGCUAGAGUAUGGGAGAGGAUGGUAGAAUUCCAGGUGUAGCGGUGAAAUGCGUAGAGAUCUGGAGGAAUACCGAUGGCGAAGGCAGCCAUCUGGCCUAAUACUGACGCUGAGGUACGAAAGCAUGGGGAGCAAACAGGAUUAGAUACCCGCGUAGUCCCUGUCUCUUAUAC
rnacentral:rRNA from 1 species